CUUUCUUUGCUGGCGACCGGCGCACGGGUGAGUAACACGUAUCCAACCUGCCCUUUACUCGGGGAUAGCCUUUCGAAAGAAAGAUUAAUACCCGAUAGUAUAAUGAUUCCGCAUGGUUUCAUUAUUAAAGGAUUCCGGUAAAGGAUGGGGAUGCGUUCCAUUAGGUUGUUGGUGAGGUAGCGGCUCACCAAGCCUUCGAUGGAUAGGGGUUCUGAGAGGAAGGUCCCCCACAUUGGAACUGAGACACGGUCCAA
rnacentral:rRNA from 1 species